rnacentral:rRNA from 1 species
GUGCCAGCAGCCGCGGUAAGACGGAAGGUGCAAGCGUUGCUCGGAAUCAUUGGGCGUAAAGGGUGCGUAGGCGGCUUGGGAAGUCUGGUGUGAAAGCCCCGGGCUCAGCCCGGGAAGGGCACUAGAAACUGCCAAGCUGGAGUGCCGGAGGGGAGAGUGGAAUUCCUGGUGUAGCGGUGAAAUGCGUAGAGAUCAGGAGGAAUACCGGUGGCGAAAGCGACUCUCUGGACGGCAACUGACGCUGAGGCACGAAAGCGUGGGGAGCAAACAGGAUUAGAUACCCGUGUAGUCC